rnacentral:rRNA from 1 species
GAUGAACGCUGGCGGCGUGCUUAACACAUGCCAGUCGAACGGUGAACCCGGAGCUUGCUCUGUGGGAUCAGUGGCGAACGGGUGAGUAACACGUGAGCAACCUGCCCCUGACUCUGGGAUAAGCGCUGGAAACGGCGUCUAAUACUGGAUAUGUGACGUGACCGCAUGGUCUGCGUUUGGAAAGAUUUUUCGGUUGGGGAUGGGCUCGCGGCCUAUCAGCUUGUUGGUGAGGUAAUGGCUCACCAAGGCGUCGACGGGUAGCCGGCCUGAGAGGGUGACCGGCCACACUGGGAUUGAGACACGGCCCAGACUCCUACGGGAGGCAGCAGUGGGGAAUAUUGCACAAUGGGCGAAAGCCUGAUGCAGCAACGCCGCGUGAGGGAUGACGGCCUUCGGGUUGUAAACCUUUUUUAGCAGGGAAGAAGCGAAAGUGACGGUACCUGCAGAAAAAGCGCCGGCUAACUACGUG